GACGAACGCUGGCGGCGGCGCCUAACACAUGCAAGUCGAACGAAGAAAGCGAGUAGUUUACUAGAGCUUUCUUAGUGGCGGACGGGUGAGUAACACGUGAAGAACCUGCCUUACAGAGGGGGACAACAGUUGGAAACGACUGCUAAUACCGCAUAAGCCCACAGCUCGGCAUCGAGCAGAGGGAAAAGGAGUGAUCCGCUUUGAGAUGGCCUCGCGUCCGAUUAGCUAGUUGGUGAGGUAACGGCCCACCAAGGCAACGAUCGGUAGCCGGACUGAGAGGUUGAACGGCCACAUUGGGACUGAGACACGGCCCAG
rnacentral:rRNA from 1 species